rnacentral:lncRNA from 10 species
CACAGUUCCUGAUGCCUUGCUGGGGCCCAGAAGAUGUUUGUUGACUGGAUAUACCAGGUGGUAGAAGUCUAAUCAGAGUCCAAUCAGCCCAGGAGUCAAGGACCAGCUCUAGGCAACUAAAUACUGUCUUGCACGGAAAACUUCGAUAUAAAAGUAAUUAUUUGGUUACCUUCAUUCUCAUUCAGAUUUAUCUUGUACUGCUCAAAUAUUUCCUCCUUUACCAAGCCACAGAAAGCAUUGAGCCCUAAAGAAGAAAUGAUGUUGGAAAAGCUCUUUGACCUCUCUGCAAGAAGCAUGUCUUCCACGAAACAGCAGUUGUGUGAAAUGCACUAUAAGAAAAGAGUCCCUGUGGUCAAAUGUGUGUAAUAUGCUGUAUACUGCACCCACUUCUUGGAGAGUCAGUACAUUGGUUAGUAUGUGAAAGCCUCUGAGAAGUCCUGCGGCAGUACAAGACUUGGAAAUUAAUUUUGACCCAGCGGUGUCCAAAUAUAUUUGAGCAUGGAUAGACAAGAGUGAAAGCAGAGACACCAUAUUCCAACAAUACAGACAAGAGACAAGAAGUGUUUGGGCAAAGGAGGAUGGCAGCAGAGGUGAAGGCUAACCAGGACUUAUUCACAUGGCUGUAUCAGCGUUCCCCGAGUUCGAGAAUGGAGACUGCAUGCUUGAAAAAUGGGCUCAAGUGACACAACCUCACUUCAACCAUAUUCUAAUGGCCAAAGCCAGUCAUGAGGCCAAACCAGAAUAAAUGACAGACUGAACCUCAUAUAGGAGAAGCUGGAAAGUGCAGUGAUCAUCUCUGCAAUUCCACAACAGAAGUAUUCCAUACUGUAUGUUCAUGAAUGCAUUGAAUGUAAUCAGCUUGCCUUGGGUUUUGGCCCAUGCCAUACUGUUAACUCACAGAGAAGUCAAUGAAAAACCUUAGACUUUUUUUUUUUUUGAGACAGAAUCUUGCUCUGUUGCCAGGCUGGAGUGCAGUGGCAUGGUCUCAGCUCACUGCAGUCUCCACCUCCCGGAUUCAAAUGAUUCCCCUGCCUCAGCCUCCUGAAUAGCUGGGAGUACAGGUGUGCACCACCACACCCGGCUAAUUUUUUGUAUUUUAGUAGAGUCGGGAUUUCACCGUGUUGGCCAGGAUGAUCUCGAUCUCCUGACCUCGUGAUCCGCCUGCAUCAGCCUCCCCAAAUCCUGGGAUUACAGGUGUGAGCUACCGCACCCAGACACAACCUUAAGACUUUUAAUGAUGAACUAUUGUCAACUAAAUUCAUAUUACACUUGUAUUUAUGCAGCUGAUUAGAACCAAAUUGCAACCCUUCGUAUUCAAUUUCAUCUCCAUUGCUUCAGCCAGCUUUGAUCCCUUCAUAUCUCCUCUUGUAGCAAUCUUUUGAUUCCUGUUUAAAUCAAUUGCCAUAUUCCGAAUAACUUCUUCAUGUAUUUUCUUAUCAUAGUUGAUGUAAGAAAUAAAUUGAUAUCGUAUUGGUUCUAUCAACAAUUUAAGGACAGGGAUAACCACAUUUUUUAGACUUCCUGCAUAUCCUAUGGCAGCCAUCACUGUUCUGAGCACAUAGCUGGUCCUCGGUUACCUCACGAAGUUACAUAAGAAUGAAUCAAUACCCAAAACAACACAAUUCCAAUGGGGUAAAUCAGUGGUUCUUGAAUUAUUUUUUUUUUUUCAGUAAAGUUCUUCUUUUUAAGAUAAAAUAUUUUAUGAAAGUCCAACAUGAAAGGCAGAUAAACAUAAGAAGACAUUUCUGAAAUUCUUUCUACUUAACUUUUUCCAUCCUUAUCUCCCAUAAGAUAUCUGAGGCCUCCUCAGAUGCCAUGGAAUAAAAUUUGAAAAACACUGGAUGAAAUCAACAUUUUUCAAACUUUUCAAACUUAACCCUCAGUAAGAAAUGCAUUUUACAUAGUGACCCAGGAGACACUGACAUAUAGAUAACUGAAACUACUGCUCUCAAGACUACUUCACCCUAAGUACAACAAAAUCUCAUGUUUUCUAUUCUACUCACUUCAUUUUUUGAAGGUCAGCCAUGAACUACUAAAUUGAUUUUAUAAGCCACUAAACAAGCAAUGCCCCAUAGUUGGAAACUAUUAGACUAGAUGAUCUCUUGAAGAAGUCUUUCAAGUUUUAAACUCUAUUGGCCUAUGGUUCUACAGCUUCUGUAUCCUCAAUUUCUAUUGUUUAUUCCCAGGGCAGAGAAGGAGGUGAUGGUCACUUCCAAAAAGAGCGGAAGUUAAGUUCUAGAUAAGCCACAAUCACGCUCCCCAAGUGCAUGAAGACCACAUAAUCUCGUGAGCGUGAAUAAAAU